AAGGAAAGCAAAAACUCAAAAAAACCUAAAGAAAGUAAGAGAAGGAACCAGAGUUUCCUGCCUGAUCUCACAAGAAAACGAAGCAGUGGAUGAAUCCAAGGAGGAUGAAGUGCUGUAUACGAGUGUCACCGUUAAACCCAAAAAAGCAGACGUUAAAUCCCAAGAACAAACGUGUGCCAACACAGAACAGCAGAAUGAAUCCAUUUACAGCGGAGUGAAGACUGCUUGAUUUGAUACAAGUGUGUGUGCGCGCACGUGUGUAAAAGAGAUACAAUCGUGCCCUUCAAAGAUAGAAAACAUGACAUCACCAACAGUUCCUCCAGUGUUCCUCCAGUGUUAGUCUGGUUUUGCUAUAUUUGAAGGUACUAAUAUAAAAGAAAAUUCGAUAAUAGUAAGCAAUGCAUUAAUGGAAACUUCUUAGUAUGAUAAAGUAAAUAACAACUUCUUUAAAAAACAAUGUGUGUUUUCAGCUCUGAAACUGUCAGAGCAAGAAUAUGACUAUGUACAUAUAUAUGUAUUUUUUUUCUCUAACAGACAUAAAUUAAAUUCUUAUAAGCAUUAUUUUUUACAGAUAAAAGCAUUUUGUAUUAUUUAAUUUUAAAGUAAGUUAAGUUAGGAGUUGCAUUUAAGCUAAAGAAAACAUCUUAGGCCUAGAUGUUUCUUGAUAAAAAAAAAAAA